rnacentral:rRNA from 1 species
AAUGAACGUUGGCGGCGUGGAUUAGGCAUGCAAGUCGAGCGCGAACCCCGCAAGGGGUGAAAGCGGCGAAAGGGAGAGUAACGCGUGGGUAUCUGCCCUCGGGACUGGGAUAGCUGCGGGAAACUGCAGGUAAUACCAGAUGACGUCCCCGGACCAAAGGUGCGCUUCCGCCUGAGGAUGAGCCCGCGUCCUCUUAGCUAGUUGGGAGGGUAAUGGCCUACCAAGGCAAUGAUGGGUACUGGGUGUGAGAGCACGACCCAGCUCACUGGGACUGAGACACUGCCCAGACACCUACGGGUGGCUGCAGUCGAGAAUCUUCGGCAAUGGGCGAAAGCCUGACCGAGCGACGCCGCGUGUGGGAUGAAGUCCUUCGGGUUGUAAACCGCUGUCAGAGGGGAGGAAUGGGCGGAGGGUAAUCUCUUCGUUUUGACCUAUCCUCAGAGGAAGUACGGGCUAAGUUCGUGCCAGCCGCCGCCGUAACAC